rnacentral:lncRNA from 1 species
UAUGUAGUUGCCCCGACACCUUUUUAUCUAAUAAUAACAUAAAUUCUGGGGGACAGAGGACUGCAUGUUCCCCUUUAUAACCGUGAUUCUCGCAAUUAGUGUGCGCUACAGCGCAGCUGGGGAGACAGCAGGGAUCACCUCCAGGGCCUGACGCCUCCCCAGCUGUGAGACUUGCCUGUGAAUGAUGAACUCAAACCUUCCCUGCCAAAAUAACCAGCCAAAAUAACGAUUUAGUGGUCCACAGUGGCAAUGACUGCUGGAGGAAAAAAAAUAAUAAUAAUAAUCUGGCAUUAUUAAUCUAGAAAUCAUGGUGUUGCUCUAGGCAAUAGACCUGCAGAUCUCAGAGGUGUCGUAAUUACCUGGACGAGAUGGGUUCUCACAGCUACCAAAGCUAAUCAGCAUCCUCUGCUCUCAGGAAGCGAGAUUUGCUAACUGCCUAGCUGGCUGAAUGUCUCUGCUCUGGUUUCUAUCACACCUUAUUGAUAGGAAAGGAAAAAUUGGCAACUUAUUGAUUUGCGAGUAGCUGGGCUGUCAGACCCUGUUUUUCACUGCAAGUCCACUCUGACAUCUCUCAGAGCAGAACCAUCCCUUAAUGGCCAAGAUAACGUGGAGGCUCAAGUGCUCUGUGCUACAACACACAUGCAGAAAGUCUGUCAUUUCUCGCGUGUGCCUGCCCAUGAUUGUGGGAGGAAAAGGCUGCUUUGCGCUCACUUUAAAUUAGCAGGUGCAGUACAGUUUUCAGCUAUUCAAACACAGAGAUAUGAAGAGUUCUUCAAAAUACAGGGGAGAAGGACAGCUCUCACGGCACUCAGAUGUUCUCCAAGGGGGAUUUUCUGCUCUGCGCAGUUUCUCUGGUUUGGAAGUGAAGCAGUUUAACAAUGUGUCCUGAAGGAAACAGGCACCCAAAGAGCAUUUCCAAGGAAGAUAUAAGACAAGCAGGAUUCUAAUUUAGAUGGAGGAAAUAAGAAACAUGUAUGGUAUUUUGUUAUCUUUCUGCCAAAAUGUAAAAAUUCAAAAAAUUAACUACAGAGGCAGCGUUCACAGUGUGUAUAAACCAAAGGCUUUCCUUUAAUCUAUUACUAAUCCCUUAUUUAUCUCUCCUGCUGUACAGGCAUUGUUAACAAAGAUACAAAUGGAGCAGAGACACGCAGGCACUCUAAGGGAGUUAAAUUCCAAUAUUUCAAGUCCAAAAUGCAGAACACCUUUCACUGAAAAUAACAUUAUUUAAUUAUUAAUACACAUCACAUUUAAUUAUUAAGAUCUAUAAAACAUUUUCACAGUAGUUAGUAGCUCCCAUAUGUACAUUUGUAGAUUAUUGAAAUGUUUAUUUUUUUUCUUUCCUUCUUACUUUUUUUUUUUUCUUUUUUUUUUUUGACUCUGUUAUAUAUGGGAGAUUUUUAAAGAUAAUGUAAUAAUCACCUUUGAACUAU